GACGAACGCUGGCGGCGUGCCUAAUACAUGCAAGUUGAGCGCUGAAGGUUGGUACUUGUACCAACUGGAUGAGCAGCGAACGGGUGAGUAACGCGUGGGGAAUCUGCCUUUGAGCGGGGGACAACAUUUGGAAACGAAUGCUAAUACCGCAUAAAAACUUUAAACACAAGUUUUAAGUUUGAAAGAUGCAAUUGCAUCACUCAAAGAUGAUCCCGCGUUGUAUUAGCUAGUUGGUGAGGUAAAGGCUCACCCAGGCGAUGAUACAUAGCCGACCUGAGAGGGUGAUCGGCCACAUUGGGACUGAGACACGGCCCAAGCUCCUACGGGAGGCAGCAGUAGGGAAUCUUCGGCAAUGGACGAAAGUCUGACCGAGCAACGCCGCGUGAGUGAAGAAGGUUUUCGGAUCGUAAAACUCUGUUGGUAGAGAAGAACGUUGGUGAGAGUGGAAAGCUCAUCAAGUGACGUUAACUACCCAGAAAGGGACGGCUAACUACGUG
rnacentral:rRNA from 1 species